ensembl:lncRNA
AUUUAACCCGGAAGUACCCUUUAAAAAGCCGCGAAGUUCAAAUUUAGAACUCGCAGGUGAUUUAAAUUGAUAUAAAACCAUGACCGCAUUUUCUGAGCAAACAUUUCCAACACAACACCAAACUCAUACGGUUGAAGAGCUGCGGCAUGCUAUUCGUGGAAAGAGUGAGGAACUGGAGAAAGUCCGACAAGAAAGACGUCGUGCUGAAGAACAGAUAACUCACAUUGUGAAGGAAACAAAGCAGAGAGCAGAUUUGAUGAUCGGAAAAAGUGGAGUUGUUGAUGCGUUGCAGCAGCUGGGUCAUCUCCUGCAAGAGGAAAUGCAUCUCUCUGAACAGCUGAAUGAUCAAGCCUCUGCAGAUCGGAAUGAAAUUAGUAGUUUACAGGAAAGGACUGAACAUGCAACAGAGGAGGUGAGAAGAAUUGCUGCUGAAAUUGUGGAGGUGAAACAGCGUCUGGCGGAAGUCAAGGCUCGUAAUAUGAAAGCAUAAGCUUUGAUCCCGGGAAAUGAACUGAAUAAGUAUUUGAAGUUUGUAGACUACUGGAACAUCUGUUGUUUUGUUUUGUUAACUUGCAUUAAAUAGUUUUUGUGUGUUUUAUAUUUAUUCUAUAUCUAAUAAAAUGUUUGAUUUUACUCUUGUACCAGAAGUACUUUUCCUUCACUUCACUGGUGUUUAAAUAACCAGGAGAGGGCUGUCAUAACAUGUCUGAGACGUAUUUUAUUGUUUUUAAAUUCAAAUUACAGUGUAAUAUUCAUAAUACUCAUAAAUUGUUUCUAGGGUGUCCAGAAAGAUAGUCUUUGGUGCAAACGUAAAUUGUCAUACAUGAUUGUGUGGAUUAGGCUGAGGUAUGGUAUCAUGCAGGUUUACUGUUUUGUUAUGUGAUUUGGGUUAAAACCCUUAAUA